AUUAAUUUGCGCAUAUGUGUUUCGAUUAUUUUGAAAUAUGGCAUUCCCACACCGCGAAAGUGUUGCUUCCUUCUUUUUUAUUUGCUUAAAAUAUAAAAUGGUAUAUACUGCUUGAAAUAUAAAAUGGGAUAUACUGGCAGCACUGGCAGUUGUCAGCUGAUUUCAGUUACGGUCAUUGAUGUUUUCUUAAACUGCGCGCUAAAUUUGCAUAAACUGAAAAAUUUAAAUAUGCUGAAAAGAAAAUUAGAAAAACAAGCAGCACUAACUGAGGACAUUAAGCCCAAGGUAACUGCGUUACCUGGAGCCAUCAAUUCGGAAUUGUUUCGACAACCACUUUGGAUGGACUUCUAUGAAAUUGAGUGCACACUGAAUAAGAAAAUUGCUUCACUUGAACCGCCAAAAAAUAUUAAAUGCAUAUACAAUCCGUUAGAAUAUGCAGCCUCAUUACAUUGCGCUUACCUACGUCGUUUCUUGAAAGGACGCAAGCAAUUAAUGUUCAUUGGCAUGAAUCCAGGUCCAAAUGGAAUGGGGCAGACAGGAGUACCUUUUGGCAACGUUCGUACUGUCCGUGACAUAAUGCAGCUAACGGGCGAGGUACUUCAGCCACCCUUGGUGCAUCCCAAACGGCCCGUGGAGGGACUGAAUUGCAAAAUUGAGGAGCCAAGCGGUGUGCGCUUGUGGGAGCUUUUUCUGCAUUUAGCAGGCGGGAGAAUCGAUACUUUUGCAGACCGAUGUUUUGUACACAAUUUUUGUCCCUUGGCAUUCUUCGACGAGCACGGUCAUAAUAUUACACCGAAUGAGUUGAAAGGCGCAUAUAAGCAGCAGAUACGCGACAUAUGUUUGAAUGCUUUAGAACAGUUGCUUAACCUGGUUCAGCCACAAACUGUGGUGGCAGUGGGUCCAAAUGGCACAAGCAAGUACCUGGAAUGCGAAAUAUCCAAGUACUAUAGAGAGUACCUUUCACUUCUUUGUAAUGGAGCUUGACAAAUCUUCAGAAUGUGCGUAACUUGGCACAAAUACUUGGGUUCUUUGUGUUUGAUUGAUGAGCUGCUGCUUAAGUUGAGCUUAAUCAUAACAAUACGAACAGCAGCAGUGAGUUGAAAUGUAAUGGAUAUCACAGUGUAGAAAUAUCCUUGUCAUCAACAAUAAAACUACUGUAACGGAGUACACCUAAUCACGCUGACGACGACAAAAAAUCAUGAGCAACAAGAAAGGGAAAAAUGCCCAACAAUAAGCCAACACACAAAAACAACAAUAUCGGACGCUGCCACAACAGACAGUAUAAACAUGGGACCGGGAGUAAAGAUCACAUACGAACGUGUUUAAUGAAUGCUCGUCGCUGAAGCAGGCAGCAGAGGCUGAUGGUGGCCUUGCUCUAGGACUCCUGGUUAUGUCGCCUGUUCUGCCUUCCUAUUGUUUUGUCUGUCUCGUAGUUAGUGCAACGCCUGUGGUAUCUAAUUUAAGCAACGCUCGUUAUAAUUACAGCAUUUGCAGCCAAAGGCAACAAAAGUGGUGGAAAAUGAUGCGCACGUGACAUCCGUUCCCAGUAUGCAUUGCUCAGGGUAGUUGGUCAAGAAGUAAAAAUAAUUUACGAAUUAAAACUUUUAGCUUGCAUUAGUCGUUAUUCAUAAUCCGCUAUUGAAUUAAGAAAAAAGGAUAUCACACCAUGAAAUAGUCCGUAGCUGAAAUAUAUUUUAUUUGAUAUCUUGAUCCAUUAA